CCUGCGCUCCACGCCUCCAUUUUUGGCUGUCAGAUCACCAGAAAAUCAAUAAAAGUAACUGCGGGUCCCGGGGGCUUCCCCGAGCUUGCUGGGCCUUCUCCCCGGGCCGCAGGGAGAGCAGGAGGGGAGACCUGGACCGGCCCCCAACUGCGCUUCUGUCCUGCCCAAGCUGGGGGAGCAUCCGGAGCCCCCAAACAGCAAAGCAGCCCUACGUGGACGCUCUCCGCUGGGACUCUCCCGGCCUCCCGAACCCACUCCCAUCUGCAUGGACCAGAAUCUUCUCGAAGGCUGGCAGCCCUUCUGCUACAGCUCCAAGUCUUGGAUCUUACACAGCCAAGCAAUGUGAUUGCUGGGGCUAUAGAAGGACGCAGACAUUUGGAUGACUCUUCUGUGCUUCGCCCUGCCACCAGAGAGCCAGGGAAACACAAGGUGGGGGCCCUACCUCCAGGAAACUUGGGAAGCACGCUUUUGCUGAGAAGACAAAACCCAGACCCAGGAGUCACCUUGGGAAGAAGACAAUAAGCAGCACCCCCAGCACCUUGCAUGUGAAGGAACUGCCAUCCCAGCCCCCC